GUGGAGCAUGUGGUUUAAUUCGAUGCAACGCGAAGAACCUUACCUGGUCUUGACAUCCACGGAAGUUUUCAGAGAUGAGAAUGUGCCUUCGGGAACCGUGAGACAGGUGCUGCAUGGCUGUCGUCAGCUCGUGUUGUGAAAUGUUGGGUUAAGUCCCGCAACGAGCGCAACCCUUAUCCUUUGUUGCCAGCGGUCCGGCCGGGAACUCAAAGGAGACUGCCAGUGAUAAACUGGAGGAAGGUGGGGAUGACGUCAAGUCAUCAUGGCCCUUACGACCAGGGCUACACACGUGCUACAAUGGCGCAUACAAAGAGAAGCGACCUCGCGAGAGCAAGCGGACCUCAUAAAGUGCGUCGUAGUCCGGAUUGGAGUCUGCAACUCGACUCCAUGAAGUCGGAAUCGCUAGUAAUCGUGGAUCAGAAUGCCACGGUGAAUACGUUCCCGGGCCUUGUACACACCGCCCGUCACACCAUGGGAGUGGGUUGCAAAAGAAGUAGGUAGCUUAACCUUCGGGAGGGCGCUUACCACUUUGUGAUUCAUGACUGGGGUGAAGUCGUAACAAGGUAACCGUAGGGGAACCUGCGGUUGGAUCAC
rnacentral:rRNA from 1 species